rnacentral:rRNA from 1 species
UACCAGCACCCCGAGUGGUCGGGACGAUUAUUGGGCCUAAAGCAUCCGUAGCCGGUUUUACAAGUCCUCCGUUAAAUCCAGCUGCUUAACAGAUGGGCUGCGGAGGAUACUAUAAGACUAGGAGGUGGGAGAGGCAAGCGGUACUCAGUGGGUAGGGGUAAAAUCCUCUGAUCCAUUGAAGACCACCAGUGGCGAAGGCGGCUUGCCAGAACGCGCUCGACGGUGAGGGAUGAAAGCUGGGGGAGCAAACCGG